rnacentral:lncRNA from 1 species
UUUUUCUAGUUCACAUUGCUUGCAACCUAAUGCAAAAAGCCCCAUGGCUUUAUCAUGUAUACAUAUGAGGUAAAAACAAAGGUCAAAAUCUAGAACGUUAAAUUUACCUAUGACCUUGAGCUCAAUUCCAAGGUCGUCAGCCAAGGACCUCAAAUCAAAAGACUCUAGGCCUCUACCUUAUACUGUUAAUGAGUUAUAUUACCAUACAACUAAUAUUAGAUAUAAAAGG